GCUGAUGAUGAAAUGAGCCCAAUUAAUGGAGUUCCAGGAGGUUCCAAGUCCUUGAUUAUCAAGGAGAACCUACUUGGAGUUGCCCCUGCAUUUCAAUGACAAUUCUGGGUUCUCACUGAGGC